AUUGAACGCUGGCGGAAUGCUUUACACAUGCAAGUCGAACGGCAGCACGGACUUCGGUCUGGUGGCGAGUGGCGAACGGGUGAGUAAUGUAUCGGAACGUGCCCAGUCGUGGGGGAUAACGUAGUGAAAAUUACGCUAAUACCGCAUACGAUCUAUGGAUGAAAGCGGGGGAUCGCAAGACCUCGCGCGAUUGGAGCGGCCGAUAUCAGAUUAGGUAGUUGGUGGGGUAAAGGCCCACCAAGCCAACGAUCUGUAGCUGGUCUGAGAGGACGACCAGCCACACUGUAACUGAGAAACGGUCCAGACUCCUACGGGAGGCAGCAGUGGGGAAUUGUGGACAAUGGGCGAAAGCCUGAUCCAGCCAUUCCGCGUGCAGGAUGAAGGCCCUCGGGUUGUAAACUGCUUUUGUACAGAACGAAAAGGUUUCUACUAAUACUAGGAGCUCAUGACGGUACUGUAAGAAUAAGCACCGGCUAACUACGUGCCAGCCGCCGCGGUAA
rnacentral:rRNA from 1 species